CUCAUCAGGGGCGUGUUGACGUUCUGCAACUGAGGGGGUCAGGCAUGCCUCUGAAGCAUGGAAGCUUCUGGUAAGCCUGAAUCUACAUCCCCACAACUUGGAUGAGGCAUAACCGACGUAAGAAACUCAUAACAAACUGCGCAGAUCUACAGUGGAAAACUGACACACUUUGAUCACGAAUACACCCGUGAAACCAUCACCACCUUCGAGAUAAUGCAGUAGCCCUUAUCCCCAAAUCUCUUCGCGUCCCCUCAUGUUCCCUCCCGGUCACCUAGCUGCCUGCCGGCACCCUGCAUUCCUUGGCAUUUUCCAGAACCGUACCUAAGUGGAGGCGCACAGAGUGCUGUCUUUCCGUCUGGUUCAUUUUCCUCGUUCUGGGGCUACUACCAAUAAAGCUGCUGCCAACAUUCAUGUGCAAGGUAUCCACAGAUCCUGAUCCACAGACGUGGUAUGUUCCUCCAUUUACUUAGGAAUUCUCAGAUCCUGAUCCACAGACGUGGUAUGUUCCUCCAUUUACUUAGGAAUUCUCAGAUCCUGAUCCACAGACGUGGUAUGUUCCUCCAUUUACUUAGGAAUUCUCAGAUCCUGAUCCACAGACCUGGUAUGUUCCUCCAUUUACUUAGACAUUCUCAGAUCCUGAUCCACAGACGUGGUAUGUUCCUCCAUUUACUUAAGAAUUCUCAGAUCCUGAUCCACAGACGUGGUAUGUUCCUCCAUUUACUUAGGAAUUCUCAGAUCCUGAUCCACAGACGUGGUAUGUUCCUCCAUUUACUUAAGAAUUCUCAGAUCCUGAUCCACAGACGUGGUAUGUUCCUCCAUUUACUUAGGAAUUCUCAGAUCCCAAUCCACAGACGUGGUAUGUUCCUCCAUUUACUUAGACAUUCUCAGAUCCUGAUCCACAGACGUGGUAUGUUCCUCCAUUUACUUAGGAAUUCUCAGAUCCUGAUCCACAGACGUGGUAUGUUCCUCCAUUUACUUAAGAAUUCUCAGAUCCUGAUCCACAGACGUGGUAUGUUCCUCCAUUUACUUAGGAAUUCUCAGAUCCUGAUCCACAGACGUGGUAUGUUCCUCCAUUUACUUAGGAAUUCUCAGAUCCUGAUCCACAGACGUGAUGGGGGAGUAUCUGAUCCCUGUUAUUCCAUUUCAGCUAGAAGCAGAAGUCAGCUGGCUUGUAAGGUAAGUUACAGUGGGG
rnacentral:lncRNA from 1 species